CGCGUGGGAACGUGCCCUUCUCUAAGGAAUAGCCUCGGGAAACUGAGAGUAAUACCUUAUACGCCUCGGGAAGGAUUAUCGAGAGAUCGCCGCGUUAGAUAGAUAGUUGGUGGGGUAAGUGGCCUACCAAGUCUACGAUCUAUAGCUGGUUUUAGUAGGAUGAUCAGCAACACUGGGACUGAGACACGGCCCACGACUCCUACGGGAGGGCAGCAGUGGGGAAGUCUUGGACAAUGGGCGGCAAGCCUGAUCCAGCCAUGCCGCGUGAGUGAUGAAGGCCUUAGGGUCGUAAAGCUCUUU
rnacentral:rRNA from 1 species